rnacentral:rRNA from 1 species
GAUGAAUGCUAGCGGCAGGCCUAAUACAUGCAAGUCGAACGGUGUCUUCGGACAUAGUGGCGCACGGGGGCGUAACACGUAUGCAACCUACCUUACAUUGGGGGAUAGCCUUUCGAAAGGGAGAUUAAUACCGCAUAAGACAGUAGCUGGGCAUCCAGCAGCUGUUAAAGAUUUAUCGAUGUAAGCUGGGCAUGCGUCCAAUUAGCUAGUUGGUGAGGUAACGGCUCACCAAGGCAAUGAUUGGUAGGGGAACUGAGAGGUCAAUCCCCCACACGGGCACUGCGAUACGGGCCAGACUCCUACGGGAGGCAGCAGUAGGGAAUAUUGGGCAAUGGACGCAAGUCUGACCCAGCCAUGCCGCGUGCAGGAUGAAGGCGUUAUGCGUUGUGAACUGCUUUUAUACAGGAAGAAACGACUCUUGCGAGAGGCAUUGACGGUACUGUAUGAAUAAGCACCGGCUAACUCCGUGCCAGCCGCCGCCGUAAUAC